AACGAACGCUGGCGGCAUGCCUAACACAUGCAAGUCGAACGAUGCCUUCGGGCAUAGUGGCACACGGGUGCGUAACACGUGGGAAUCUGCCCUUCGGUUCGGAAUAACUCAGGGAAACUUGAGCUAAUACCGGAUGAUGACGUAAGUCCAAAGAUUUAUCGCCGAAGGAUGAGCCCGCGUAGGAUUAGGUAGUUGGUGGGGUAAUGGCCUACCAAGCCGACGAUCCUUAGCUGGUCUGAGAGGAUGAUCAGCCACACUGGGACUGAGACACGGCCCAGACUCCUACGGGAGGCAGCAGUGGGGAAUAUUGGACAAUGGGCGAAAGCCUGAUCCAGCAAUGCCGCGUGAGUGAUGAAGGCCUUAGGGUUGUAAAGCUCUUUUACCAGGGAUGAUAAUGACAGUACCUGGAGAAUAAGCUCCGGCUAACUCCGUGCCAGCCGCCGCAGUAA
rnacentral:rRNA from 1 species